GCACGGGCUGAGGGGUGGCUGAUCCCGGUCCCGGAUCAUGGAAGGCUGGCCGCUCCGCUAUGAGGGGGGUUGGUACCUGCGCUGGAAGUCCACGGCGAAGGGCUUGAGACUACAGGAUUGGACACCAAGAGAAAUGGACACACCAACACUGGAGGUUCCAAGCUGCUUUGUACCUGGAAACUAGAGAGGCUUGAGCAACAGAAAUUUGUCAACUCACCAGCAUCUGGAGGCUGAAAGUCUGAAGUCGUGGUGUCAGCAGGUGUGGUUCCUUCUGGGGGCUCUGAAGGAGAAUCAUUCUGUGCCUCUCUUUUUUGGCAUCCCUUGACUUGCAGAGGCAUCACUCUGAUCUCUGCCUCUGUCUUACCAUAGCAUUCUCUCUGUGUCUCUGUCUCUUCACAUGGUGUUCUUUUUAUAAAGUCACUGGUCAUAUUGAAUUAGGGACCCACCCUCUUCCAGUAUGACUUCAUCGUAACUAUAUUUGCAGUGAUCCUCUUUUCAAAUAAGGUUGUAUUCUGAGGUACUAGGGGUUAGGACUUCAAUACAUCUUUUUUGUGGAGAGAUAUAACAAUCUGUAACAGUAUUGGAAUGUCAAAACAGAAGAACUAUUUGAGAAAUAGAAUUCCUAAGAUUUGAUAGCUAAUUGGAUAUGGAAGCAAAAAGAGGAGUUAAAGAAGAUUGAGCCUUCAAGCCUGAGUGAAUUCUGUCUUUAGCAAAAAUAAGAGGUCCUUGGAAGAGGGCAAAUUGAAUUUAAGGUGCCAGCUCCUGGAUACCUAAGUGGAGAUGUGUAGCAGGAAAUGUAGUUUUGGUACCUAACGAUCAUUUAGAAGUGAAGAUAGCAAUUAGAUGGUCAUGCAUGUAUGGUUAAUAGUAAACAGUGGUGAAUAGCUCAGUAAAAACUUUCAAACUACUUCUUUUUGAUACUUAAGUCUCACGCCACUUAGAAGGUCUGUUAUACUUUCCUAUAAUGCAUCUUUUCUGAAUUUUCACCAGCCAAAAGUAUUGUGUUAAAGUUUGCUUUUCAGUAGUUUGCAUUAUAAAACCAAAAGGUUAUUGAUACAUGCUACAAUACAUUAACCUUGAAAACAUUAUGCCAAGUGAAAGAAGCCACUCACAAAAGACCACAUAUUGUAAGAUUCCAUUUAUGUGAAAUGUCCAGAAUAUGUAAAUCUGGAGAAACAGAACGUAGAGUAUUGGCUUCAUAAGGCUAGGGGGAAAUGGAGAGUGACUGCUAAUGGGUAUGAGGUUUCUUCUUGGGAUAAUAAAAAUUUUCUAAAAUUGA